UACGUAGGGGGCCAGCGUUGUUCGGAAUUACUGGGUGUAAAGGGUUCGUAGGCGGUGUGGCAAGUUGGGAGUGAAAUCUCUGGGCUCAACCCAGAGACGGCUUUCAAAACUGCCGUGCUUGAGUGUGGGAGAGGCUCGUGGAAUUGCAGGUGUAGCGGUGAAAUGCGUAGAUAUCUGCAGGAACACCCGUGGCGAAAGCGGCGAGCUGGACCACUACUGACGCUGAAGAACGAAAGCUAGGGGAGCAAACAGG
rnacentral:rRNA from 1 species